AACGAACGCUGGCGGCAGGCCUAACACAUGCAAGUCGAACGCUCCGCAAGGAGAGUGGCAGACGGGUGAGUAACACGUGGGAAUCUUCCUAUCGGUACGGAAUAGCCCAGGGAAACUUGAGGUAAUACCGCAUACGCCCUUCGGGGGAAAGAUUUAUCGCCGAUAGAUGAGCCCGCGUCCGAUUAGCUAGUUGGUGGGGUAAUGGCCCACCAAGGCGACGAUCAGUAGCUGGUCUGAGAGGAUGACCAGCCACACUGGGACUGAGACACGGCCCAGACUCCUACGGGAGGCAGCAGUGGGGAAUAUUGGACAAUGGGCGCAAGCCUGAUCCAGCCAUGCCGCGUGAGUGACGAAGGUCUUCGGAUUGUAAAGCUCUUUUGCCAGGGACGAUAAUGACGGUACCUGGAGAAUAAGCCCCGGCUAACUUCGUGCCAGCCGCCGCCGUAAUAC
rnacentral:rRNA from 1 species